UCUAGUUGUUAACACUUGAGUAGAUUCCUAUGAUAUAGUAGAUUGUAUGUGGUUUAGCUAUAGAUUAGGCGAUUCCGAUGAUUCUACCUCGCUUUUCCAUUAUAUCAAAGCACGUUUUCUCACAAUUCAUCACUCAACAUACCCCCAAUUUAUGUGAAUUUUCUGUAUAAUGUCUAUGAACACGAUUUGACUAGUUUAAUCACACAAUCCCUGUGGAUCGAUAUUUUUAUUACUACGUGG
rnacentral:lncRNA from 1 species